CCUACGGGGGGCAGCAGUAGGGAAUAUUGCUCAAUGGGGGAAACCCUGAAGCAGCAACGCCGCGUGGAGGAUGAAGGUUUUCGGAUUGUAAACUCCUUUUGUUAGAGAAGAUAAUGACGGUACCUAACGAAUAAGCACCGGCUAACUCCGUGCCAGCAGCCGCGGUAAUACGGAGGGUGCAAGCGUUACUCGGAAUCACUGGGCGUAAAGAGCGCGUAGGCGGGAUAGCAAGUCAGACGUGAAAUCCUAUGGCUUAACCAUAGAACUGCCUUUGAAACUGUUAUUCUAGAGUGUGGGAGAGGUAGGUGGAAUUCUUGGUGUAGGGGUAAAAUCCGUAGAGAUCAAGAGGAAUACUCAUUGCGAAGGCGACCUGCUAGAACAUAACUGACGCUGAUGCGCGAAAGCGUGGGGAGCAAACAGGAUUAGAUACCCUAGUAGUC
rnacentral:rRNA from 1 species